rnacentral:misc_RNA from 1 species
UUCUACUUCUUCUUCUUCUUCUUCCUCCCUUAUUAAGCUUCAACGAUAAUUUGCCUCGUAUUUGUUGUCUCUCUUCCUUUCUAGCCAUUUGGUUCUUUGAUCAGUAAAGUCUGAUUCCUUCUUUAUUUUUUGGGUGGGGGUAAGGGGGAGGGUUUCUUUUUCUUUCAUUUGAUUUUUAUUUUAAAUUUGCUGCCUUUACAAUCUGGAUUAGCUGCAAGAUCAUUUUCUUGGGAAUUUACGGUGCUAAUCAUUUCUGGGUUAUGUUGAUCAUCCUGUAAAAUUCAGUUUUCUUUCUCAGCUGCAUCUCAAGACUGGGAAAUUCAGUCUGUUCAGCUUCAUAUCCUUCAAUUCAGUUUACCUCUUACUUGUUUCCUGUCUUUCAUGUUC